AUACGGAGGGUGCAAGCGUUAUUCGGAAUCACUGGGCGUAAGGGACGCGUAGGCGGGGUGGAAAGUCAGGUGUGAAAGCGUACAGCUUAACUGUAGAACUGCACUUGAAACUCUCACCCUAGAGUAUGGGAGGGGCAGAUGGAAUUAGUGGUGUAGGGGUAAAAUCCGUAGAUAUCACUAGGAAUACCGAAAGCGAAGGCGAUCUGCUGGAACAUAACUGACGCUAAGGCGUGAAAGCGUCGGGAGCAAACAGGAUUAGAAACCCCAGUAGUCC
rnacentral:rRNA from 1 species